GCGCUCUUCUGUCGGUGAUAUCACUCUUCCCCUCUUUCGCUCUACUCUCCACGAUCGCUUCUUUCUUCUGCGGAAAACCCUAACUCUCGAUCGGAUCAUUUGUCUCUUUCCUUCUCGAUUCUUUGCAUGUGAUUCUGUAGAUGAUCUCUCGGAUGUUGUUCGGAGGAUUAAGCUUUUAACAUUUUCCUUUUUUUUUAUCGUUUCCUUCUGUUUCUUGAAACCCUCUCGUCCUUCUAUGUUGAAUUGAUGUGAAGUUUGCCCUUCAUAGGGUAUCUCCUGAUCAAUGCUGUUCUUCCGGAGCCUUGCGGGGCUCUCGAAGCUCUGGUCUCGUCUGGUGAGUGGAUCUUGUUGAACUAAAUCGUUGUUUUCGGCCGUCGGAACUCUCGCGAUCACUUUGUUACUCUUGGUGAUCUUUUGGAACACUGUUAUUCGGCAAAAUUCCGUGGUGACUAUUGAUUCCAGGCGCAGCAGUCCGUCUCGUUGGGUUCAGUCGGAAGGUUGCAAGUCCAGAGCGUAUCGCAUCUCGUGAGUUCAUGUUUUUAUUCCUCUGUUGCAUUCGUUCUACUAGUGCUUUACCUGUCUUCAACCUUCAACGACUAAGUAAAUUGGAUGGUUUGAGAUUUCUUUUUUGUUUGUUUGCAGACUUUUCAUGUGCUGUUGAUUGACC
rnacentral:lncRNA from 1 species